rnacentral:rRNA from 1 species
GAUGAACGCUGGCGGCGUGCCUAAUACAUGCAAGUCGAGCGAGCAGAUGAGGAGCUUGCUCCUCUGACGUUAGCGGCGGACGGGUGAGUAACACGUGGAUAACCUACCUAUAAGACUGGGAUAACUUCGGGAAACCGGAGCUAAUACCGGAUAAUAUAUUGAACCGCAUGGUUCAAUAGUGAAAGACGGUUUUGCUGUCACUUAUAGAUGGAUCCGCGCCGCAUUAGCUAGUUGGUAAGGUAACGGCUUACCAAGGCAACGAUGCGUAGCCGACCUGAGAGGGUGAUCGGCCACACUGGAACUGAGACACGGUCCAGACUCCUACGGGAGGCAGCAGUAGGGAAUCUUCCGCAAUGGGCGAAAGCCUGACGGAGCAACGCCGCGUGAGUGAUGAAGGUCUUCGGAUCGUAAAACUCUGUUAUUAGGGAAGAACAAAUGUGUAAGUAACUAUGCACGUCUUGACGGUACCUAAUCAGAAAGCCACGGCUAACUACGUG